rnacentral:lncRNA from 1 species
ACACAAAUAGGGGGGCAGGGGGCGGAGAAUGUGCUCUUCUUCAACUUAAGCCAAAUAAAUAGGACUCCAAGAGAAUCAUCCGAAGGGUGGGGAGGUAUAAACACUUAUGCCUGACUCUCACUGUAAAAGAAAUAGCUGUCUGGUGUUAGCUGAGAAGAAGAACAAAGAGAGAGGGCUCCAUAGGGGAUGGCUUUUAUUUCCAGUGUUUGCUGGAAAAAGAUAUGAGUUUUUCCUUAGAUUAAGAGGUUGUUGAGUAACGUAGGCAAGCUGGAGCCUGGAUGGCGUGACUCCAAGAUCUGUGUGGGACAUUUGCAAGAAGAGAGCAGCUGGAGAGGAGAAUGUGGGAGAUAUUUGAAGAACUUUCAAGAGAGAAUAUUGAUAUUUAGGCACCGGCCUUCCAGAGAGCUACAAUUUUCACUUUAAAACAGUACCAGUCAAUCCUGUUUCAGGAGGAUAUGCCACUCUUAUUUACAGAGAGGAACUGGAUUCUUGGCUUAGACCAAAUAUAGAGGAGUCUCCCCUUAUCUUUUUAAAGGAAAAAUAAGGUAAUGUUGCUGAUUUUCAGAAAUAUUUUCAGCUUCAGAUAUCUGUGAUAAAAAUGAGAAAAAAGAAGUGGAUGUUCUGUCAGAAGGUGUUGGUGAGAUAGGAGACCCAGAAUUGGGAGAAGCAACUUAGAUGGAGAGCAACUUAAAUGGGAGAAGUGAUGAACAUGCGUGAGAAAAAAGUGACUGCUCCCUUUGUGAUCGGGGCGAACAUGACUAACUGAUCCAGGAAUUUGUUUCAUUUGGUCAUGAAUGGGCUUUGCAAAUCCUUCCUAAUGACAUGACAGUGUCACCUACUGGCAAAGCAGGACCCUAUGAGGCAUCUAAAGGGAGAUUUGGCCAGAUAUGUUGUUUAUCAAUCAGAAGCCAGUGUAGUCCCAGCUACUUGGAAGGCUGAGGCAAGAGGAUCACUUGAGAAGAGACGUUCAAGGCUGUAGUGCACCAUGAUUGCCCCUUGUGAAUAGCCACUGAACUCCAGCCUGAGCAACAGAGUGAGACCUCAUCUGUAAACAAACAAAACUGCUCCUGAAUUUCAAUGUCAAUUUAUUGUAGAAAUCUUAAAAACUUAAUCCUCCUAAAAUAAUGCUGUUUUUAGGGCAACACAUAAUUGUG